UUUUAUUAUUAGCUCAAUAUAAGAUUGGGGACUACAAGCAAUAGCUUAAAAACCUAAGAAUUUGGGGGUGUUUUAUUCAAUCAGGGGGACCUGUACUUUAAAUCGACAAUCCACGAUAAACUCUAUCUAAUUUUAAUAAAUUAAUAUAUAUUAACUUGUGUACUGCCGUUUUAUAAGCCCUUUAGGAUCUCUUAUAAUUAAUUAAAAAAAAAAUAAAAAGUCAGGUCAUAGUGCAGUUUACGGUUAGAUAGUUCAUGGGUCACAUUUUUAAAAAUAAAUUAGUAUUAUAAAUUAAUUUUUAUGAUAAAUUUAGAACUUGAUAGUAAUUAUAAAAUUAUUUAUAUUAUAAUGAAUAUGAACCUAAAACAAGUACAUAUCGCCCGUCACUCCUUUAUACAGGAUAAGUCGUAACAUAGUAGAUGUAAUGGAAAUUGCAUCUGU
rnacentral:rRNA from 1 species